rnacentral:rRNA from 1 species
AUGGCCUCUAACUCCGAUCGUCUUUGUGCCCUCAAGGCCUUCGACGACACCAAGGCCGGCGUCAAGGGCCUCGCCGAUGCAGGCGUCACCACCAUCCCCUCCAUCUUCCACCACCCACUGCCCAUAGAGCACACAGAUCAUGAGCACCACUUCACCAUCCCGGUCAUCGACCUCGCGCCCGCCACGGGUGGUACUACUACCACGCCAUCCAAGCGAGCUGAGGUGGUUGCAGCAGUGAAGGCGGCCGCAGAGACGAUGGGCUUCUUCCAGGUGGUGAACCACGGCGUGCCCAAGGCGGUCAUGUCGGAGAUGCUCGCGGCAGUGCGGGGCUUCCACGAGGAGCCGGUAGGGGCCAAGGCGCUCUACUACGGCCGGGACUAUGGUCGGCCUGUGAGGUACUGGAGCAUCUUCGACUUGUUCCAGUCACAGGCGGCCAACUGGCGCGACACCUUGAUCAUCGAUACGGCGCCGGAGCUGCCGCCGCCCGAGGAGAUCCCACCCACAUGCAGGAGCAUUGCACCCAAGUAUGUGAGAGCUGGGACGCACCCUGCUUGA